UACACAGAAGAGGAAGGCCCUUCAGCUGU
rnacentral:piRNA from 1 species